AGAGUUUGAUCCUGGCUCAGAACGAACGUUGGCGGUGUGGAUUAGGCAUGCAAGUCGAACGAAUGCUGGCUUUGUAGCAAUACCGAGCCAGAGGAAGUGGCGAAAGGGGCAGUAAUGCGUGGAUAACCUACCUUGGGGUUGGGCAUAGCCGUUCUAACGAGCGGGUAAUUCCCAGAGAUUCAGCGGGGCGGCAUCGUCUUGCUGGGAAAGAAUUUCGCCUCGAGAGGGGUCCACGUGCUAUUAGCUAGUUGGUGAGGUAACGGCUCACCAAGGCUAAGAUAGCUAGCGGGUGUGAGAGCACGACCCGCGCCACUGGCACUGAGACACUGGCCAGACACCUACGGGUGGCUGCAGUCGAGGAUCUUCGUCAAUGGGCGCAAGCCUGAACGAGCGACACCGCGUGCGCGAUGAAGGCCUUCGGGUUGUAAAGCGCGAAAGUGGGGAUAAAGCCGAAAGGUUGAUAGAUCCACAGUAAGGACGGGCUAAGUUCGUGCCAGCAGCCGCGGUAAGACGAACUGUCCUAACGUUGUUCGGAAUCACUGGGCUUAAAGGGCGCGUAGGCGGUCCGACAAGUCAGGGGUGAAAUCCUGCAGCUUAACUGCAGAAGUGCCUUUGAUACUGUCGGUCUUGAGGGAGAUAGGGGUGUGCGGAACUCACAGUGGAGCGGUGAAAUGCGUUGAUAUUGUGAGGAACGCCGGAGGCGAAAGCGGCGCACUGGAUCUCUUCUGACGCUGAGGCGCGAAAGCUAGGGGAGCAAACGGGAUUAGAUACCCCGGUAGUCCUAGCCCUAAACGAUGAGUACUAGAUUGUAGACUUACAUGGGUUUACAGUCGAAGCAAAAGUGUUAAGUACUCCGCCUGGGGAGUAUGGUCGCAAGGCUGAAACUCAAAGAAAUUGACGGGGGCUCACACAAGCGGUGGAGCAUGUGGCUUAAUUCGAGGCUACGCGAAGAACCUUAUCCUAGGCUUGACAUGUGCGAAAGCGGCAGGGGGUAGUCUCUUGGAAACUUGAGACGAAGGUAUCCAAUCCUGAACCUGCUACAGGUGCUGCAUGGCUGUCGUCAGCUCGUGUCGUGAGAUGUCGGGUUAAGUCCCAUAACGAGCGAAACCCUUGCUUCCAGUUGCCAGCGAGUAAUGUCGGGGACUCUGGAAGGACUGCCGGUGUUAAACCGGAGGAAGGUGGGGAUGACGUCAAGUCCUCAUGGCCUUUAUGCCUAGGGCUGCACACGUGCUACAAUGCAACGAACAAAGGGAAGCCAACGCGCGAGCGGGAGCCAAUCCCAAAAAACGUUGCCCAGUUCAGAUCGAAGGCUGCAACUCGCCUUCGUGAAGUUGGAAUCGCUAGUAAUCGCAGGUCAGCAACACUGCGGUGAAUGUGUUCCUGAGCCUUGUACACACCGCCCGUCAAGCCACGAAAGAGAGGAGCGCCCGAAGUCGCGUUAAAGUGCCGAAGGCGAAACUCUUGAUUGGGACUAAGUCGUAACAAGGUAACCGUAGGGGAACCUGCGGCUGGAUCACCUCCUU
rnacentral:rRNA from 1 species